CUGUGCACAUCCGAGUGAGAAAACAGCGCACGUCGGUCGCUGGAGGUUUCUAAAAAUAAAAAGGGAGACAUGGUAAUCUAAUCAGCCUCUAAUCUGGCGCCAUUAGAGGAAGACGCUGCUGCCGAUCAAAUUAACACAACCGUCAUUCAGCGUUCAACGACAAAACAUUCACCAGCGACACACAAAAACACAAAAUCUGAGCCCUGUUUGUCAAACUGUUAAUCAAAACUUUGUCUAGAAAGUCCGGUUGGUUUAAGCAUCGAACUCUAAUGCAGAACAAAAAAGCAAACUCUGGUCCGCCUAAAAACCUAGGUCUCAGUUCGACUAAUGUGAACUACGGUGCUGUUCGAAUGCGGAUCCAAGCGGACUGGAGACCGCUGUGUAAGCAGGAAGUGAGCAAGUCUAACCCGGAAGUGAUCCGCGUCAUCUUAGCAGGCAUGUGCACUCGCAAUGCAUAACGAACUCAUGAUGGCUUUCAGACCAACAAAAAGAAAAUAUGUGGAAUCUGUUGACUAUGUGCGAGAGAAAGAUGCAUGAACAAAAUGGCUGCUGUCUGGAUCAAUCAUAUGAGACCGAGAACCAAAAUAUGUCGGACAAUGUGGACACGCUACCUCCGAUCUCAUACCACGAUAUACUUAACUAUUUAGUGAACACCAAGACGCAUACAAUCAGAGUUUCAAUGACUUUGUAAAGGACGGACGAAUAACAAGGUUCUGGUGACUGUCAGGCACCCAAGAGAGCAGCCUGACCCUCCGGCUGCACAGUCAGAGCAGCAGCCCCUCACCCCCCUGGGAACGACGAGGCGAGGGAAAACUCAUGGCAGCUGAGCACUGAAUCAGUAAACGUCACCAUCUACCUCCACGCCAACACCCUGAAAAGACUCAAAUACGCGGCUUUCCUUACGAAUCGAACUCCACUUCCUGUCCUGCUCGGGCUGCACCAGCUGACCUUUAACGUGCUGCAGCAAGAUCACUGCAACCCCUAGAGGAGGCAGCAGCAGCAGCCUGCUAGCUCAUAGUCAAAAGGCUGCUGGUUCAAGUCCCAGUACCGGCUGGGAAAAUCUGGUCUGUGUGAACGUGGGAAGGAGCUUUUAACACAUGACACUGUGGGACAUUUCAGCACUGAGCCCAGCUGGCUGCCUGUGUUCUUCUGCUCCCUGUGGUGUUUAUGGGACUUUGUUGUUUUUGAAAUAUAAACAGAGUUGGAGCAGAGACAUGCUGACCCGGUUUCUGUUGCUUCAGUAGAGACUCUAACUCUCUGACCUGUAAAUGACCAACCCUGAAAAUAAAGACUGCCAGCCAUGCCAUAA